rnacentral:snoRNA from 1 species
CUAGCACUUUCAUAGGUCCUCCCCUAGGCUGUGGAGCCAGGAUUUGGUAGCUCACUCUGCAAGAAAACCCUUGGUUGUACCCUUGCCCUACGACUGUGCCAUUGGCAGCUGUCACUCAGUGGGACAGAA